AAGUGAAGUUUGUCUCCUUCCAGUUGUUUGCAAGCUGCGGUGCUGGCAGAUACUGUUCAGCUCCUCUGUGCCUGGCAUCAGAAGCAUCACGUCGCAUGACUCGAGAUGCUCUCAGCUGUAAGAGACUGAGGUCUGUCUUACAGCCGAUCAGCACGAGCGGGACACCUCGGCAGAAGUGAUUCACUUCAGGAUACCACUGAUGAUGUUUUUCAGAGACUUAAUAAGGAAGAAAAAGCUACUGAAGCAGUCUGUAGAAGAUCUAUUUACCACCUGAAGGCUGCCCCUAGAAUCAGGUACAUUUCCGUCAGGAACCAAAAUGAGAGGUGGGAAUGUCAGUCCUCUUCAUGGUCACCACCCAGUAUGGACUGUGAACUGUACACAGCCCAGACACUGCCCUACAGGAAAGCAAUAUACCUCAAAGCUUUGCACUGAUGUUUCAAAUAAAGGGAUGCUGAAAACUUCAGCGUGCUGCAACUUUAUACCAACUGUUCCUGUCCUGGCACCCAGCUCGGUCCCAGUCACAUCCUCAUCCCUCUGGCCAACAUGCUCAUCUCCGGGAUUGAGGGAUUGCAGACACCAGCAGCCCACCAGCUACACCACUUUGUCACCCUCUGCAUUAAUUUAAAUGAUGGAUCGAGAUACAGGUUAUCACAAGGUGAUUACAAUGCACUGGAUAAACCAUGACUCAGAGUGC